rnacentral:snRNA from 1 species
GGAUGUGAGGGCGAUCUGGCUGCGACAUCUGUCACCCCAUUGAUCGCCAGGGUUGAUUCGGCUGAUCUGGCUGGCUAGGCGGGUGUCCCCUUCCUCCCUCACCACUCCAUGUGCUUCCCUCCCGAAGCUGCGCGCUCGGUCGAAGAGGACGACCAUCCCCGAUAGAGGAGGACCGUUCUUCGGUCAAGGGUAUAUGAGUAGCUGCGCUCCCCUGCUAGAACCUCCAAACAAGCUCUCAAGAGUGGGGACUGUAAGGGUACUUCAGAGGGA